CCAGCCCCGGCGCCUCUCCCGCCGUCCUGUCUGGCAUGGCAUGCCCCUCCUUUCCGAGAAACGAAGUCAUAAGUUAUUUCAGUGGCUUUAGCCUCCUCCCAGGGCAUCACCGAGUCUCCUCCAUCAAUUAUAGUCCCGCAGAGUCGAGGACUCCAGGGUGUCCCUCACCUUCGUGUUGGCCUGCAGGACAGAGCCCCCUUCAACCAUGCAGACACUCUGAACGGGGCGCUGUCAGCUUUGAGGGGGCGUGGACUGUGCAGGUUCCUCCCAGCCCGGGGCUACCUCCUCCGUCCUGGACACCGUCUGCACUUUGUCAGCCAGAUGACAUAAAGACACAAUGGCCGAAGCUGGUGCAGCCACCUGAGGCCAUGAGGCAUAUUUGGGAACGAAGGCCACUGCAGCAGGAACAGACUGAAAAGAGCCGGGUCCCUGACUCCCUGUCAACCCUGGACCACCCAUGUGGACUUUUACAUGAAAAAUGAAGCUCGGUGGGGCGCAGUGACUCAGGCCUGUAAUCCGAGCAGUUUGGGAGGCCGAGGUGGGUGAAUCACUUGAGGUCAAGAGUUCCAGACCAGCCUGGCUAAUAUGGUGAAACCCCAUCUCUACUAAAAAUACAAAAAUCAGCGGGGCAUGGUGGCGGGCGCCUGUAAUCCCAGCUACUCAGGAGGCUGAGGCUGGAGAAUCGCUUGAACUGGUGAGAUGGAAGUUGCAGUGAGCCGAGAUCACGCCCCUGCACUCCAGCCUGAGUGACAGAGCAAGACUCAGUCUCAAAAAAAAAAAAAAACCAACAAAACCCAGAAAAAUACAGCUCCAUCUUGCUGAAGCCAGUCAUGUUGAGCUUCCUGUCACUUUGAAGAUGCAGUAGGAACUCAGUACUCAGUUCUUUCUUUCCAGUGACUGGUAAGGUGAGGUAGGGGCUGGAGCAGGGGUAGGGCUAUGGGCCUCGGUGCUGCCGGGAACCAGCUGUGACCACGAUGGGCUGGCUGAGAUUGUGUGGUGUCCACCUCUUCCUUCUCUCAGGGCUGGGGCUGUGGGUAGACUUGCCCACUCAGCAGCUUUCCUUCUCAGGCUAGCUCUGCCUCUGCGGAGUCACUUCGGCUAAUAGACAAGUGUGGAAUGAUAGGCAGGUGGGUGUAGCCCAUAUGCCCUCCUCUCCCAGCAGCCAAGCUCUGGCCUGCCUCACCCCUUUAGCUUUGACCCCUACAUGCCAAGUGCUACAGAUGCAGACCCCCAUACAGAGAGGCUGUGGUGUUCUCAUGUGGCCUACAGGGCUGGUGCAAAAGUCUAAUUCUGGGUUUCAGUGUUGGGAACUUCCCUGUACGUCCUCAGUAUAUAACUUAUAUGUGAACCUCAUAUAUCAACUGCAGGGUAAUAAAGGUGUCAUGUGACCUGUCAUCA